GCGGAACCAAUACGCGCGCGGCGGCGUUUCCGGCGGGACGCUCAGGAGGAGACCCGGGUCGCCGCCAACCCACGCGCGGUGCGGGCCCGCGUCCCGUCAUGAAGUUUCGGGCCAAGAUCGUGGACGCGGCCUGUCUGAACCACUUCACGCGGGUCAGCGCCAUGAUAGCCAAGCUUGCCAAAACCUGCACGCUCCGCAUCAGCCCGCAGAAGCUGAACUUCAUCCUCUCGGACAAAGUGGCCAGCGGAGGGGUGAGCAUGUGGUGUGAGCUGGAACAGGAGAACUUCUUCCGUGAAUUCCAAAUGGAGGGGGUGUCUGCAGAAAACAACGCCAUCUAUUUAGAGCUGAUGUCGGAAAAUUUAUCUCGAGCAUUGAAAACGGCCCAGAAUGCCAGAGCCUUGAAGAUCAAGUUGACGAAUAAACACUUUCCCUGCCUCACGGUCUCUAUAGAGCUGUUAUCUGUGUCGAGCAGUAGCCGCAUUGUGACACAUGACAUCCCUGUUAAGGUUAUUCCUAGAAAAUUGUGGAAGGAUUUGCAAGAACCUACAGUCCCAGUUUCCGAUGUUAGUAUUUAUUUACCAGUCUUGAAGACAAUGAAGAGCAUCGUGGAAAAAAUGAAAAACAUCAGCAAUCACCUUAUUAUCGAAGCAAACCUAAGUGGAGAAUUGAACUUGAAAAUAGAAACAGAACUAGUGUGUGUUACAACUCACUUUAAAGACCUGGGGAACCCUCCAUCAGGCUGCGCCAGUCAGCGGAAACAAAUCAUUCAUUUCAGCUGUCAUCACGCUGCCCCAGCUUCCCUGUCUCGUCCCGAGCUGUUCAUGUCUUUGUAGCCUCUGAAGACGCCUCUCGGGAUAGAGACCCAGAGCAGAUGGCUGAGGUGCACAUAGACAUCCGGAAGCUCCUGCAGUUCCUCGCUGGGCAGCAAGUGAAUCCCACGAAGGCCGUGUGCAACAUUGUCAGUAACAAGAUUGUCCAUUUUGAUUUGCUCCAUGAAGAUGUUUCCCUGCAGUACUUCAUCCCGGCUUUCUCCUAGACCGCCUCGCGGCCCGGGAGCGAUGUGUCCUCACGGCCACGCACGUCUGUACAUUUUCCUUCUCUUCCCUCCAUGGUAUUUUAGCUAAAAAUUGAGUUCACGAAAGAUAGUUGGAUAAACAUACUACUUUAUGUGA